rnacentral:lncRNA from 1 species
UUUUAAUAUGUGGACACAAAGACAGGCCUUUAAAACCCUGACUCUUGAUAUCUGAUGUAAAAAAUCAAUUAUACAGAACAUGCAAAGUAAGGCUUCUCUCCCUGUUUGGGCAGUGAGAGAAAAUGUGAUAAAACAGUUUCUUCAAGUAUAUUGUGGGGCUGAUUUCUCUUUUCAUAGUUUCAAGUCUGUCUGCAAUUUUUUUGGGAGAUUUGUAGAACCUUUCCAGCAAAGAUGAUUGCUUCAUCCAUCUUCCAAUCUGAUUGUAUCAAGGAUCUGUUUAGUGUGUGAAUUUGUCUUUACUUUUCUAAAGCUAUCUUGUGUCUUUCACGUAUCAGGUACAGAUGCUUUGAUUUAAGUCUUUACAUGGUGAGUAUUGUAAACUGCAGGUAUUGAAUGUUAAGCCAUUUCUUCACAAACUUGCUUCAGACAUGUUUGUUAAUCUGUAGAACCAGUAUUUUGUGUCAAUUCCUGCUUGGAUAGCAAAAGAAUAAGACUGAACAUGUGAUUUUGAUACUGCUUAUGAAGUGAACAUUUGCUUCAGGAAAGAAAGAAAGCAGAGGGCCCAACUUAGGAAUGUGAAAUUAAUUAAUUUUGCCUUGUUUACAUAUCUGUGGUAACUCUGUCCUUGAGUUGUAUGUAGAAUUAGAAUAAGUAUUCCUGUGGUUUCCUAAAUUCUAUAAAAUACACAAAUACAUCAGGAUAUUUCACUUAGAACUGUUAAUUUUUUUUGAAUCUGCAAAAAUAAUCUGUAAUAUGUCUACUCCUAUAGCAUUUCUACAGUCUGCUCCCUUGGAGUGCAACAUGUGCUGCCAAAUUCACUGUAAUGAAGAACACUUCAGUAUUGUGCCUGUCAGUUUGGAGAAAUGAUAAAUCUAUGCAAUAUAUUUUGUUACUUCAAAUACAGUGUCCAAAAGAAAGAAGAGCAGGUUGGGGGUGUUGUCGAGAAGGAAACUUGAAGCCUACAGUUUUCUCUUCAAGAGGAGGCUACUGGACCAGACAUUUCUCCCGUGUGCAAUAA